rnacentral:tRNA from 1 species
GGGGUUGUGGCUCAGUGGCAGAGUGCUUGCCUUGCAUGUGUGAGGCACUGGGUUCAAUCCUCAGCUCCA